rnacentral:rRNA from 1 species
AACGAACGCUGGCGGCAUGCCUAACACAUGCAAGUCGAACGAGACCUUCGGGUCUAGUUGCGCACGGGUGCGUAACGCGUGGGAACCUGCCCUUAGGUUCGGAAUAACUCCCCGAAAGGGGUGCUAAUACCGGAUAAUGUCUUCGGACCAAAGAUUUAUCGCCUUUGGAUGGGCCCGCGUUGGAUUAGCUAGUUGGUAGGGUAAAAGCCUACCAAGGCGACGAUCCAUAGCUGGUCUGAGAGGAUGAUCAGCCACACUGGGACUGAGACACGGCCCAGACUCGUACGGGAGGCAGCAGUGGGGAAUAUUGGACAAUGGGCGAAAGCCUGAUCCAGCAAUGCCGCGUGAGUGAUGAAGGCCUUAGGGUUGUAAAGCUCUUUUACCCGGGAUGAUAAUGACAGUACCGGGAGAAUAAGCUCCGGCUAACUCCGUG